GGUCUGCAGCAGCAUGAAAUGCAGUGUGAUAUGCUGUAAAUGGUCGAUUCAAAAACCCUCCACGCCUAUGAAUAUAAUCUGCUGUUGGUAGGUUGUAUAAUUCUUCAUCACUAACACCCAUCAUCACAUUCUCAGCAUUGGCACUGUUGGUUUCAUCUGAAGACCACAUCUUUGACUUCUCCACAAACUCAAUAACCUUUUUCCACAGAAUAAAAGUUUAAACAUCACUGGACAAAUACAGCAUAUACGAUUCCAAAUAAAAACAUAGGUAAGAUAACUACUUUUGCAGAAAAAUCAUCAACAAGAGGUGUCUUAUUCUUGUGUGCAACUAUAAGCCCAGCAUAGCAGAACUUGUUCAAUCCCAGACCAGCAGCUAUCAUAUCACGGACAAUUGUAUACACUCGGUCUAUGCGUCCAUCGGCAGCACAAGCAUUUAGCAAGCAGAUGUAGGUUUGUACAUUAGGCUUUACUUCCAUGCGUUUCAUUUCCU
rnacentral:sRNA from 1 species